rnacentral:rRNA from 1 species
UACGUAGGGGGCAAGCGUUGUCCGGAAUCAUUGGGCGUAAAGCGCGUGUAGGCGGCUUGGUAAGUCCGUUCUGAAAGCCCGGGGCUCAACCCCGGGAGGCGGAUGGAUACUGUCAAGCUUGAGUCCGGAAGAGGCGAGUGGAAUUCCCGGUGUAGCGGUGAAAUGCGUAGAUAUCUGGAGGAAUACCGGUGGCGAAGGCGGCAUCCUGGACCGGCAUUGACGCUGAACAGCGAAAGCUAGGGGAGCAAACGGG